rnacentral:tRNA from 1 species
GGGGAUGUGGCUCAGUGGUAGAGUGUCUGCCUGGCAUGCAUGAGGUCCUGGGUUCAAUCCUCAGCACCACAA